rnacentral:rRNA from 1 species
UACGUAGGGGGCAAGCGUUGUCCGGAAUCAUUGGGCGUAAAGAGCGCGUAGGCGGUCCGGUAAGUCCGCUCUGAAAGUCCGGGGCUCAACCCCGGGAGGCGGGUGGAUACUGUCGGGCUAGAGUCCGGAAGAGGCGAGUGGAAUUCCUGGUGUAGCGGUGAAAUGCGCAGAUAUCAGGAGGAACACCAAUGGCGAAGGCAGCUCGCUGGGACGGUACUGACGCUGAGGCGCGAAAGCGUGGGGAGCAAACAGG